AACGCACAUUGCGCCCGCGAGUAUUCUCGCGGGCAUGCCUGUUCGAGCGUCAUUUCAACCAUCAAGCCCCCGGCUUGUGUUGGGGACCUGCGGCUGCCCGCAGGCCCCGAAAUCCAGUGGCGGGCUCGCUGUCGCACCGAGCGUAGUAGCACACUUCUCGCUCCGGGAGCGCGGCGGGCGCCUGCCGUAAAACCCCCCCACGUACCAAAGGUUGACCUCGGAUCAGGUAGGAAUACCCGCUGAACUUAA
rnacentral:misc_RNA from 1 species